GUAACACUCCCCUUACGAAAAGUUAGUCCUUUCCAUACCUAUUGUUGCCUGUGCUUUUGAACACAACGUAGAACUGCUCAUAUAUGUACAGUCUCGGCAGCUCCUUGAAUAGAGAUAGUGGGGAAACGUUGCAUCCGUGUUACUAGUGUGAGGGGAGUAAGUGACACCCUUGACGUAAUCAAAUAAUGUCAAUGUACUUAUUAUUACUACGUAUUUAUCUAUAGUAAUGUGAUCUUAGCUACAAUUAUAAGAUCUCCGCGUAUGAAUACAUAACAUUAAGACGAUUUAAUCAUCUAGUUAUCUGACAUAAACCGACCUGAACUUUUGUCAUAUUAUUCCAUCUUGGGAUACAUGUUCACGCAAAUGUAUCUACGAAUUUAUAAGUCUUAAGGUAGAUGUAAUGUAUUACACUCUAUACGAUUACGUCACUUCAUGGUGCAGAAUAUCGAGUCAUAAUUUUGCUUGGAUAUCAAGAUUUAGUUUACAAUAUUAACACCAAUUUGGUGUUAACUAAUAAAUAGUUUGAUGGGCCAAAAGGAUUGGAGUCAUACUCGAAAGUGGAAAAAGGAACUAGCUAGACAAACAGAAUUACAAUUGAAUAAUUAAAAUGACACUCGUUACGAAGAUAUGUAGAGCAGCAAGUACACCUGUGAUUUGUGUGUUAUAUAUGUCAGCUCUAUAUGUUGGAUUUUACCUACUUAGGAGGGAAGAUGCGAAAAAACUUAGUCGUUUUCGAGAUAAAUCUGCUCUCUUUGGAAGAGAAUUAGCACCAGGAGAGCCACCAUCAUGGAGAUAAUUAAGUGAAAAUUAGUCUUAGAACUGU